UGUUAAAAAGGUGACACCACCUUCUUGACAAGUACUCUAGCCGCUGAAAGAGCUAAGAGCCGUAGAAGUUGUCCCAUUCAAUUCAAUAGACAUUUGUCCCUCAAGAACUCAAAUAGCACAUGUAGAUUUGUCCCCUGCAUCAAUACCGUAGAAUUUGCCAUAUUUCAUUUAUGAAAUGGAAUACAGCUUUCCAAAGUGAUAGAACACCAAAACAAGAAGAGGUGGGGUAUUCUCAAAGUUCACUGGAGUUUUCCAGUAAAAGAUGAGCUAAUAUGCUAAGAAGAAAACGAAGAAAACGUAACCAAAAUAAAAGAAGAAAUGCAUUCAUGGCACAUCCUGGAGAAUAUUUAGAUUAGGAGCCCGAAUCAUCCACCCAGCUGCUGAGAGGACAUCACCUGAUCUCAUCUUGCUGCCCUCGAAAAUGAAAUUAUGUCGAGAUCUCCAAAUGUUUCAGCAUAGACUCGCCAAAAAACGACAAUCAGCUUCUUCUUCAGAUUGUUGCUGCAAUUGGGUAGUUGAUGCUUCCCACCACGAGGCAAAGUCUGAGAACAGAGAAGCUUGAGGGAGCUGUUGUAAGUGACUGAGAGCCCCGAUUUCAACUGAAUCAGAACAAAGAUUGAGGCAGUGGAGCACAGAUUCAUCAUCACCACUUACAUUUUACCACAUAAAUUAACACCAAUUUGCGCCUUCUCCAUUUCACCUCUGUCAUUUCACCAACCUUCCCUCUCUACUGCCGCCGCGCCGUCUUCGCUCUGCUGCUCCCGCGCUCGUCGCAGCUCCGUCACACUCGCGCCGCUGUUGCUCUGUUAGACUAGCGUCGAUGUCGCUCUCGUUAUAAAUCUCUUCAGUUGCAAUAGAGUUCUUAGCUACAAUCAUGAUAAAGAAGAACAAUAGCGCCGAAGAAGAAGAACGAGAUCUGACUGAAACUGCGAUUUAGAUCUUGUUUCAUCUUGAUCUCUCGGAAAAUCAGAUUUAGAAGCUAAUCAACAACGAGUGCCUUCAGUUCCUUGAAUCGUUGCUGCAAGCGUUGAAGCUUGGGAGCUGCCAAUCAAGAGCGUACGCAACACUGCUUUUGAAAUCGGCAUUUGCGGUUUCAAAUCCGAUCCAGUGGAUCAGCGCGACAACCGAAAUGUUGUUUGAAAGCACGAGUGUGAUACGAGAUUGUAUAUCGCAGGAGGCUCAUAAGACGGCAUUGAAGCUGGUGGUUGAGCUCUGUCAUGGGGAAGAAACAGAAUCAAGCAGUGGAAGCCGGCGCGGUGUCCGUGCUCGUUUAAGUGCUUCUUGAUUGGACGGAAAGUUAUAUGAUUGCCUUUGAUAUUUAUGUUAGUAAAUUUUUUGGAUGAAUGUUGGAGCUAAGUGCGGCAGUGGAAAUUAAAGCAGCAUACAAAAAGGAAGAAGAUGCAUAUGAUAUAUGAUAUAUAUGAUUUAUUAUUGUCCAUUUUCAAAUUAAACUAUUAAUUUGCUUCUUCAACUGUAUGUAUAUGUAGUAUAUAAAUGCUUCGUUUCCAAUAAGCUAGACGAUAGAGAUGCAUUACUUUUCUAUCUCACUCUGAUAUAAUUAAUUAAUAUUAGGCAUGUCAUCAAGUAGAACACUAGUGAGGCAUGUGUUUGAUGUUCCUGAAGAGAUAUGUUACGUGCAAUGUGGAUUGUGUUCAUCCAUUUUAGUGGUGAGCGUGCCAUGCACCAGCAUGUCAAUGGCAGUUCUCAGUGUCAGAUGCGGCCACUGCACAACCAUUCUCUCUGUCAACAUGAUCAAACCUUUCCUUUCUUCCUUCUCUAGUAACCCCUUCCAAUCAGCUAAAUAUUGAGGAUGGCAACCAGAUUAGCACUUUGAACAGUCAUAAUAAUUAUUCUAAUUAUGAGGAAGCCAAUAAUAAUGUAACAACUCCAUUCACAAGUGAUUCUGCUCCGAAUAAACAUCAGCAAGUUUCUCUGCAUCCAUUAACCAUGUCAAUUCAAGAAUUUGCUUCUGCUGCCAAGCAAGUUGAUGAUGAAUCAAAGGUGAUAUAGUAGAUAUGAAGAAGCAAGCGUUGAAUGAUAGACUAAUCCUUGCCAAAAAAGGCUUCCUUGAUGCAGAUGGUCUUCAUGGAAGGCAGUGGUUCAAGCAUCUUGUGUUUGGGCGUCCAAGGGACAAAGAAAGCAAGCUAGAUUUCUUCCCCGGGAUUGCUGAUUCAAACAGGAAUCAUCAAAGGCAACGAGUGAAAGAGAAAGAAAAGAGCAAGGAAUUGGCCACUUGUCAGGGUCAAAUGAAGACCUUCAAGUUAACUGAAGCUCUCAAGAACAAGGCUAUAGAAGAGUUGAGAAAUGAAGUUGAUAAACUGAAGGAGAGGCUUGGAGUUACUGAGGAUCAUCUCAAAUAGAAAUGCAAGUACCCUCAUAUUGCUAUUGGCCUAUUGGGGAACUUGCUGCUUCAGCUCCAAUUCUCCAAUUUGAAGACAUUGUGCCACUAGAAACAUUCUAUGACAUUGUUUCCAGUGAUUUUAAGCGUGAGAGUUCUACUUGCUUUAACUACAUAAAACAGUCAUGGAAUGACAUAUCAUCAAUAGGUCAGACGCGUAAUGGCCUUGUGCAACUGUCCAACACUUGCCACUUCUGUCGGCCAUUGAAUAAGACUGAUGAUCUAUGGAACUGGUUGGUGUCUGCGAAUAGUUUUUUGGCAAUGGUGGACUACCCAUAUCCUGCUAACUUUAUGAUGCCUUUGCCUGGACAUCCCAUCAAGGAGAAAUCUCCUUGCUAGUUUGUGAUGCAACCAGGAAAUUGAUUUAACUAAUGGUUGUAUGAAGAAUAUUGGUGGGAGUGGUGAGAGCAGGGGGGAGACUAAUGGUACUCUAAGCCAGGAACUAACCAAUCCUUUUUCUAGUUUCCAUUCCAUUCUAACCAAGAAGGCUCCUGAUUGUCUUUACAUAUCACCAAGAUUAAUAUAUAUUUAAAUAAUAUUAUUUAAAUUUAAAGGCUGAAUAAAAGGCUGAAUUUUAAAGGAUACAUAGCAUUUUCCAUAUCUUUAUAUAUUUCUGCAGUAUAUAUUUAUCAAUGAGUGCGGAAAUUUUAUAGUUUGUUCUUAUAAAAGGCCCCGCCGCUAUUCAUUGAGUUUUCUCUGCAUAUCAAAUACGUAAGCCAUCACUCUCAUACCAACCCAAUUCCUUCCUAGUUUUCUCUGCAUAUCAAAUACGUAAGCCAUCACUCUAAUUCCAACCCAAUUCCUUCCUAGUUUUCUCUGCAUAUCAAAUACGUAAGCCAUCGCUAUGGCUGAAGAGCAGGCGCUGUUGUUCACAUGCGUAAAUUGUUCACACGGUAAUUUUUUCGAAAGAGCAAGAUUGGAGCAACACUCCAAACAGAAACAUGACAAAUACGAGUAUUUCUGUGAAAAAUGCUCGAAUUGCUUUGAGACUAAAGCCUCAUUGACGCAACACAUCGGUGAGUGUCGGCACUGGGAUGGCCAUAGGCCACCCCGGAGCAGAAGGUUAGAAGACAAAAACGGUGACGGCCACCGUCACCCUAUAUUUAUGUUAAGUUAUCUUCUUCCAUCUGCGGCUGAUACAAGCUUCAAGAAUGGAAUGUUUGAAUGUGCUUUUGCACAUCAGGCUUGGGCCUCAAUUGAAGACUAUUUUUCAAAGAUCUCCGGGAUUAAAGAACAGCAACAGAACUCAAAACGAUCAAAAAGCAAGGUUUUGUGGUCUUGGAGAAAAUCUAUAGAAGAUGCAAGAUCAACCAAUAAUAAUGCUAAAUCUCCUAAGAAGGGCAUUUAUGAGUUUAAUCGUGUUGCUGUUACAAGAUCAACUAAUAAUAAUGCUAAAUCUCAGAGUUCUUUUAAUAAGCUUCAUAUAUAUCCUAAGGUGUUUUCUGCUGCUAUUGAUUCUUAUGCUUUCUCCAAGAUUAGCAAUUGAAAGCAGAACUCAAAACAAUCAAAAAGCAAGGUUUUUGAUACAACCACAUGUAUUUCUCUUGUUGGGAAUGGUGCUCUGAUGCAGGUUUUGUGGUCUUGGAGAAAAUUUAUAGCAGAUGCAAGAUCAACCAAUAAUAAUGCUAAAUCUCAGAUUUCUUUUAAUAAGGUUCAUGUAUAUCCUAAGGUGUUUUCUGCUGCUAUUGAUUCUUAUGCUUUUAUGGCACAAUAGGGUAGGUCAUUGUGCACAAAAAAUUGUGCAAGCUGUGAUGAGAUCAUGUAAUAUGAAUAUCCCUUCGAAUAUUAAUAAGACAGAUUGUGUGAAUUUUGCUGCAUGGCUAAAAUGCAUCUUUUACCCUUCCAUCACGAUUCUUACAAUUUUAAUGCACUUCUUGACAUGAUUUAUUCAUAUUUAUGGGGUCCUGCCCCUAUUACUUCAUUUCAUGGCUUUAACUACUAUAUUU